AUAAAAAAAAAAUGGUGCUAAC
rnacentral:piRNA from 1 species